GGUUCUAUGGUGUAAUGGUUAGCACUCAGGACUCUGCGAUCCGAGUUCAAAUCUCGGUAGGACCU
rnacentral:tRNA from 1 species